rfam:Rhizoclosmatium globosum strain JEL800 BCR33scaffold_43, whole genome shotgun sequence.
GGGGUUAUAGCUCAGUGGUAGAGCGCCUGCUUCGCAUGCAUGAGGCCCAGGGUUCAAUCCCCUGUGACUCCA